CCCGGACACAAGCGUGGAUGAUGUGGAUUAAUUCGAUGCAACGCGAAGAACCUUACCUGGUCUUGACAUCCGCAGAACUUUCCAGAGAUGGAUUGAUGCCUUCGGGAACUGUGAGACAGGUGCUGCAUGGCUGUCGUCAGCUCGUGUUGUGAAAUGUUGGGUUAAGUCCCGCAACGAGCGCAACCCUUAUCCUUUGUUGCCAGCGGUCCGGCCGGGAACUCAAAGGAGACUGCCAGUGAUAAACUGGGAGGAAGGUGGGAUGACGUCAAGUCAUCAUGGCCCUUACGACCAGGGCUACACACGUGCUACAAUGGCGCAUACAAAGAGAAGCGACCUCGCGAGAGCAAGCGGACCUCAUAAAGUGCGUCGUAGUCCGGAUUGGAGUCUGCAACUCGACUCCAUGAAGUCGGAAUCGCUAGUAAUCGUGGAUCAGAAUGCCACGGUCGAAUACGUUCCCGGGCCUU
rnacentral:rRNA from 1 species